CCAAGGAUUAGACACAGCGGGCUUUACAAUUUAAUGAAAACAGCUGUUGAAACAACAAUUAAGGCAAACAAUAGUUUGCCUGGAAAACUAUUAAUUAUGUAAAGUUAUGCAGAAAGUGGAAUACGCUUUUAUUCAGGGCCUUCUACAGCCACCGAGCUGCCUUCCAUUCCAGGGCUCUCAAGUGUCAGGAAGUGGGGGUGCUGGUAGGAAGCGGCUACACUGCCUGUGGAGUGAAAUAUAAACUAUGUCAUAACAGAAAAAUCCCUGUGAAGUUCUCCAAAGAAUGCUAUGCUACUUCCAGACCCUGCAACUAUAAUUAUGCCUUGCAUAAUUAAGCCAGAAAGAACAUCCCCUGCCAACUCUAAGCACCCCUGUUUACAUCAAAAAGCAAUAGCAAAAUGUACUCUAGAAGGUUCUGGCCAAAGUAAUUGAGUGGGCUGCCUGAGCCUAGCGCUGCUUUCUAAAUAUUGUCCCUGGGUUAGGAACUGGAGGGACAAGGAGGGAGGGAAGCACGUAGGAGAAUGCGCCAGAGGCCUAUUGACUUUUCCUGCCUGGGAAUGAUGUCAUGGAGUUCAGUGACAUUGGGGGCUGGUGUCAACUGAAGUCUCAUGGCACAUUCGCCCAGGUGCUUCUACUGGGGAGCUUCAGACCUGUCGCUCCAUUACGUGUUGGCCUUCAUAUGCUCUGAAUCCCUGAACUCACAUGAAAAGGUUCAGAGCGUUAGGCCAGGGUGUAGACACAUUCUUGACAUCGAGGAGUACAAAGAGGAUUCUUCUGCUUGCAGUUCAAUCAGUCUUUCUUUGGAGCUUUCUUUGUAGGUUGCUGCAGCUGGAACAUGAAAAGAGAGACACAGACAAACAGAGAAAGACAGAGAGACCGAGAAAAAGAAAAAAAUAGCAAGGCACCGAGGAAAAAGGGGAAAAAAAAACAAACCAAAACCAAACCAAAGCCACAAACUGAAAAAAAAAUCCCUAUAAAAUAGAAGUGUAUUAUGUUUUUGUGUAUUUUCGAAAUGUAGCCAAACUAAACCAUUAAAUGAGGAUUUUGUUUCACAGAGUCUGCAAACUAUUCAACGCUAACCCACUACACCAAGAAUGUGGUGCCAACCAAAAUAUGUCAAGAUUAGUAG
ensembl:lncRNA